rnacentral:tRNA from 1 species
GCAGGUGUCGUAUAAUGGUUCGUACGUCUGCCUUCCAAGCAGAAAAUGAGGGUUCGAUUCCCUUCACUUGCUCCA